AUACUUACUUGGUGCUUGCAGCGUCGUGAUCACGUAGGCGACCUGCUCGAGUUGGCCCAUGCCAUUGCACGUUCCCCUGCAUGCGGCACGGCUAAUCUCGCCAACGCCCCUACUGUGUUGGAGCAUUCAAUUUUUGGUAGCGUGGGCGGAGGCGUCCGCGCCCUGCCCCC